rnacentral:lncRNA from 1 species
GGGCCAGCAUAAAAAAAAAAUUUUCCACCGAUAUCUCUGGACCUAUACAUGAGCGAAUCACCACACACGAUGCAUGAUUUUCUGCACCACAUGUGAUGUACAGUGAAUUGCUCACAAGUAAAUCCCUAGGGUAUCCAGCUCUUGAAAUUGGAUGGGCCAUAUCCUUAUUGGGCAUCACGUCUUACCGUGCACAAUGGAUCAACAAAAUUAUGCAUCCUAUCUGCACACAAAGGCUGAAACUGGA